rnacentral:rRNA from 1 species
UAAUGAACCUACGAGUUGCCAUGUCGUGCGAGGUUAAGGAUGAUGACAUCCCGAGCCGCAGUGAAAGCGAGGCUGAAGAGGCCGAAUUUUAGUACGAUGGGGCAGACGCGAAACCGAGUGAUCUACACAUGUCCAGGAUGAAGUCCCGGUAACACGGGAUGGAGGUCCGCACCGAUAAGCGUUGAAAAGCUUCCGGAUGAGGUGUGUGUAGGAGUGAAAGGCCAAUCAAACUCGGAGAUAGCUCGUACUCCCCGAAAGGCAUUUAGGUGCCGCGUGC